UAGAGCAGCUGAAGGCUCUUUUUGUGUGU
rnacentral:piRNA from 1 species